UGGAGAGCAAAGACAUGCUGGGCUCAGCUAGCACCCACACACACAGGGAGCAUUUGGACCAGACUUAGCCAGAGAGGAACCACCCAUCCCAGCAGGUGGAACCUGAGUUUCUCAACAAGCCUCACUAGCACAGGCCAAAAUGCUCUAAGGUCCAAAGUGAACUUGAAAGGCAGUCUAGGACACAAGGACUGCAAUUCAUAGGUAACGCCUAUGCUGAGCUGGGCUUAGAGACAGUAGACUAGGGUGGCACAUGACCUAAGAGACACUAGACAGAGUGGCUAAGGAAGUGCUUGCACCACCCCUCCCUCAACUCCAGGCAGUGCAGCUCACAGCAACAGAAAAGACCCCUUCCUUCUGUUUGAAAAGAGGAAAGUGAAGAGCAAAGAGGACUUUGCCUUACAUCUUGGAUACCAGCUCAGCCACAGUAGGAUAGGGCACCAGGCAGUCAUGAGGCUCUAGCUCAUAACAGACAUUUCUAGAGACAGAAUAGGCCAAAAGGGAACCACUGCCUUGAAGGCAAGGACCCAGCCCUGGCAGGUUCAUCACCUGCUGAUUAAAGAGCCCUUGGGCCCUAAAUACCCAGCAGCCAUACCCAGGUGAUAGGCCAUGGGCCUUGGGCUCUGAGAUGUGCUGGCUUCAGGUGUAACCAAGCAAAUUCUCAGCUGUGGGAGCUAUGGUUUAAGACUCCUGAGAAAAACAAGGGGAAAUGUAAAAGGGACUCUGUCUUGUACCUCAGGUACCAGCUCAGCUGCAGUGGAGUAGGGAAUGAAGCAGGCCCCUGGGGUCCCUGAGUGCAGGCCUAGGCCCUUGGUCAGCAUUUCUGGACCUGCCUUGGGCCAGAGGGGAGCCCACUGCCCUAAAGGGUGAGUCCCAAGCCUGGCAGCAUUCACCACAAGCUGACUGGAGAGUCCUUGGGCCUUAAGAGAACACCGGUGGUGGCCUGAGAGAAACUCCCUUGUGGUGGUGUUGCUGGUGGCCACAAGAAGAGGCUCCUCUGCCUAUGGAAAGGGAAGGGAAGAGCAGGAAGGACUUUGUCUUGUGGUUUGAGUACUAGCUUAGCCGCAGUAGAACAGAACUAAAUAUCUAGGCUUUUUGACUCUAAUCCCUAGCUCCCAGGCAGCAUCUUUGGACCCACUCAGGGCAUCAGGAAACUCACCACCCUGAAGAAAGGGACACAAACCCAGCUCGGUUUAUCAACUGCUGAUCACAGAGCUAUAGGACCUUGAGUAAACAUAGGUGGUAGCCAGGUAGUGGUUAUAGUGGGCCUUGGGAAAGACCCAGUGUUGUGCCAGCUUCAGGUCCAUAUUAACACAAUUCCAGUGGUGGUAGCCAAGGGGCACAGUGUCCCCUCACCCCUAGUUCCAGGUGACUCAUCACAGAGACUCUGAUUGUUUGGGAGAAAGUAAGGGAAAAGAACAAGACUCUGCCUGGAAUCCAGAGAAUUCUUCCGAUUUUAUCAAAGACCACCAAGGCAGCACCUCUAUGUGUCUGCAAGAACCACAGUGUUAUUGGGUUUGAGGCCCAAGUCCUUUUGAAUAUCUAGAAAGCUUUCCCAAGGAAAACUGGCAAAAACAAGCCCAGACUGUGAGACUACAAUAAAUGCCUAACUCUUCAAUGCCCAGACAUGUUAACUCAAUAAAUGCCUAACUCAUCAAUGUUACUGAUGAACAUCUAUAAGCAUCAAGACCAUCCAAGAAAACAUGACCUCACCAAACAAACUGAAUAAGGCAUCAGGGACCAAUCCUGGAGAAACAGAGAUAUGUGACCUUUCAGACAGAUA
rnacentral:lncRNA from 10 species